AGUGAACGCUGGCGGUAGGCCUAACACAUGCAAGUCGAACGGCAGCACAGUAAGAGCUUGCUCUUACGGGUGGCGAGUGGCGGACGGGUGAGGAAUACAUCGGAAUCUACUUUUUCGUGGGGGAUAACGUAGGGAAACUUACGCUAAUACCGCAUACGACCUACGGUUGAAAGCAGGGGAUCUUCGGACCUUGCGCGAUUGAAUGAGCCGAUGUCGGAUUAGCUAGUUGGCGGGGUAAAGGCCCACCUAGGCGACGAUCCGUAGCUGGUCUGAUAGGAUGAUCAGCCACACUGGAACUGAGACACGGUCCAAGCUCCUACGGUAAGCAGCAGAGUGGAAUAUUGGACCAUGGGCGCAAGCCUGAUACAGCCAUACCGCGUGGGUGAAAGAGGCUUUCGGGUUGUAAAGCCCUUUUGUUGGGAAAGAAAAGCAGCAGGUUAAUACCCCGCUGUUCUGACGGUACCCAAAGAAUAAGCACCGGCUAACUUCGUG
rnacentral:rRNA from 1 species